CCUACGGGAGGCAGCAGUGGGGAAUAUUGGGCAAUGGGCGCAAGCCUGACCCAGCAACGCCGCGUGAAGGAAGAAGGCCCUCGGGUUGUAAACUUCUUUUGUCAGGGACGAAGAAAGUGACGGUACCGGACGAAUAAGCCACGGCUAACUACGGGCCAGCAGCCGCGGUAAGACGUAGGAGGCAAGCGUUAUCCGGAUUUACGGGGUGAAAAGGGCGGGUAGGCGGGAUUGGAAGUCAGAUGUGAAAUUCCAGGGCUCAACCCUGGACCUGCAUUUGAAACUGUAGUUCUUGAGUGAUGGAGAGGCAGGCGGAAUUCCGUGUGUAGCGGUGAAAUGCGUAGAUAUACGGAGGAACACCAGUGGCGAAGGCGGCCUGCUGGACAUUAACUGACGCUGAGGCGCGAAAGCGUGGGGAGCAAACAGGAUUAGAUACCCCAGUAGUC
rnacentral:rRNA from 1 species